GAUGAACGCUGACAGCAUGCUUAACACAUGCAAGUCAACUGUGGCGGACGGGUGAGUAACGCGUAAAGAACUUGCCUCACAGUUAGGGACAACAUUUGGAAACGAAUGCUAAUACCUGAUACUGUGAGAGAGCUUUGCGUCCCAUUAGCUAGUUGGAGAGGUAACGGCUCACCAAGGCGAUGAUGGGUAGCCGGCCUGAGAGGGUGAUCGGCCACAAGGGGACGGAGACACGGCCCGUACGCAUGCGGGAGGCAGGAGUGGGGAAUAGUGGACAAUGGACCAAAGUCUGAACCAGCAAUUCGGUGUGCACGAUGAAGUUUUCGGAAUGUAAAGUGCUUUAAGUUGGGAAGCGGUACCAACAGAAGAAGUGACGGCUAAAUACGUGCCAGCAGCCGCGGUAAUAC
rnacentral:rRNA from 1 species